rnacentral:lncRNA from 1 species
UCUAAUCUUAUUAAAAAAAUUCUCCAGGCAUACCUUCUUCAACGUCUUCGGCUUUCACUUUAAAGAGAGAGAAGCCGAGGAUCUCACUCCUAACCCAAAAAAUUCGGCUUUCACUUUAAAGAGAGAGAAGCCGAGGAUCUCACUCCUAACCCAAAAAAGUCAGACUGGGGACUGAGGAUCCUUCUAUUUCAAGCAUUUGACUUUUAUUUCCUUGAAAAAAGUCUAGGCCAGGUAUUCAUCCUGUUAAUUCGGCAAAUAUUUGUUGCUUGUUAAUAGGCAACAUCUGAGCAACACCUGGAUGAAGAAUAGGAGUACCAUCUAUGACCAUUUCAAACAUGAGUUUCAUAUCUUGUAAGGUUAUAGUCGCUUCACCCGUUCUCAGGUGAAAGGUAUGUGUUUCUGGUCGCCACCUUUCAACAAGUGCAAUAAUAAGGGGAAAAUCGCAGGGAACGAAUCCAACAUCUAUAACGCCUCUAAAACCACAAAUAUUAAAAUAAUUAAGAAGACGAGGAUGAAAUGAAUGAUUUCUAACAUGUUGCCAAAAACCAUUAUCAUCACGCCGCACUAUCAAACAUGCCUUUUCUCUUUUUAAUGUGUCUUUACGAAUAGCUUCAGACCGAUGAUUAUUUUGCGUGGCAUAUACGUCAUACUAUGAUGGUCCUGGAUGCGCAAAGUGUUGAUAUUCCAUAUAUAUACAAAAAGAAGAUUAAAAUUAGUUCUGAGCAUACAACUAAAGGGCAAACUUUUACACAUGCAUAACAAUACUAACUUAACGUAGGUUUAGGCUUAAUAAGUUGAUAUGAUAACAACAAUAUUUGACAAAUUAGUAAGCUACAAAAAUGAUUAAUAAUAUUAUACUGCAUACUUGCUUGUUAGGUAUUGAAAAAUAUUAAAUAAAAAAGUGAUUAAAGUAGUAUACCUAAAGUGCAAAUUUAUUGAGAAAGUAGACUUUGAGCAAAAAUAAAUACAUCUAAUAUAGAUGAAACUAGUGAAGUGAAAAAAUGAAUGAAAUGGGCGGUAUAUAAAAGAAAAUUAAUAAGGUAAGGAACACGGUUUACCUUGUAAGGUAAGAGACACAGUUUACCUUGUAAGGUAAGAGACACAAUUUACCUUAUAAGGUAAACUCACUACUUUACCUUAUAAGAUAAACUCAUCAUUUUACCUUACAUUCUAACAUUUGAACUAACGGUGUUAACUUUGUAAUAGACAAAGGUAAACACAUGUGUUUACCUUGUCCCUUUUGGAAUUUUUCAAUAUUGGGGUGCCCUUUUGAAAUUUUGACUAAAAAAACUUGCCUUUUAGGCUCCAGACUCUAGUUUUGAUCCAAUCAAUUAGUAACAACAUGGUAUAUUUAGACCAAUCUAUUAGUGGAGGACAUUUUUAUUCAAUUUCACAUAAUUUAAGGGCAUCCUUGACCCCUUUUUUCCAUAUUGGAAGUUACUUAGACCUAGAAAUAGAAGCUAGAACAUUUAUAUUUGCAUUUUGUUUUGAAAAUAUUACUUUGGCUUUGUGUUUGUAGCUUGACUGCAUGAGUAUAGCAUUAUCUCUGGCUCAAGAUGAUGCUUUUUGUUGUAGUAUCUUAGCCUCUUAGCAGGUUCAAGGUGAUGAAAAGAGACUAGUAUUGAAGAUGGAAAAAGACACAUGCAAGUUGCAAAUCUUACUUGUAGGUGCACGUCAGGAUGCUACGAAUAUGCAUGUCGUGUACUAAACUACAACCAUAAAAAUAAGAGAAAGAUCUAGACUACUAUCAUAUGGAAGAUUAUUACAUCAAUUUAAUGGUUGGCAUGCACAUAAAUAUAUGUUUUAGAGAUAAAAACAAGAACUUGAAUAUUUUUUUAGAAAGAAAAAUGUUGUCUAAUAAAACGGCAUAGUGAUCAUAUCGUGUUGCAAGAGAAUAUUGAGGAUAUAUACACUAGUAGAUGAAAUUUUUAGCUAAACAAUAAAAUCUAUCAUUAAUUCAAUUUAGUGAUAAAUUAGCGAUGAAUUAUCCUACAAUUCUGUUAGUAACAAUAUAUUAAUUCGCAAUAAAGUUCAUAACUAAUUAUUUCAAAUUUUUUUUAAGUGAUGUUAAAUGAAGGAUAACUAUUCCCUAAAUAUUCAUCAAGAAUCUCGAGGAUAUGGAAAGAAAAUGUUAGCGUCGUUCCGAAUAGAGACGGCGAUUAAAUUUUUUGCCGUGAUCCAUCUUUUCUCAUUAAGAUUCAAGAAUCAAGGAGAUUAACCAUUUAAAAUUAAUUAAAGUAAUUAAAUUUGUAUUUUAAAAAAAAUAAAUAAAUAAAGAGCCACGUAAUUUGAGCUUAAACAAUCACUCAUAAGUCAAAAUCAUGGGCUAACUCACAAGCCACGCCUUCAUACAUGCGAAAGCAUGGCAUGGCAAAUGGAGAUCGUUAAUUAAAUAAGUAGAAUUGAGUGGUUUUAGCAAUUCAAAAUAAUAUUAGUAGUUUGGUUACCAACGACUAAUUAAAAAAAAAAAAAAGUUAUUUUAGCAAAAUUCUGGUUGCCUUAUGACAGAAGAUUAAUUUAAAAAAAAAAAAAUGAAAAAAUGAGUCGUAUGUAUUGAAAUGAUUUUUUUUUAAUCUACAUAUACUCUACAAUAUACUAAAAAUAUGAAGAUCAAAGUGAGUUGAAUGACUCCGCUUUACCUAAAAUCGUCUUUUUCACCUUUUUCCUUCCGUUGUUAAUUAAAAAAAAUAAAUAUUAAAAAACAUUUUUUAGUAUGUUCCAAAAAUGUCUGAUUUUAUUUUAUAUUUUUGACUUUUUGGUGUAAUCUUAGAUAUAUGGGAACUCAAACUCCUAAAUAUAUGGUAACUCUUUUCUUUUAGUUAAUUUGUACGUGUUUUUCCUUUUUUUUAACCCAAAAAAUCUUAAAAUAUUAUUUAUUUUUGCAAGAGUAAAUACAUAAUUACACCACUAAUCUUGUUCGAAAUUUUAAAAAGACACAUAAACUUUAACUUCGACCUAUUACCCCACGAUUCUUCUUUAUUCCGUUACAAAUAUACCAUUUUAGACCUCUGCAUAUAUACACGCACCAUAGGCGCGUGAAAGGGCUCAAAUUUAAUUUUUUUGACCAAUUAAAAGAUGUCACGUGUAAAUAAUUUAAUAUAUAAUUUAUAUUCUUUUUUAAAAAAAAUAUUUAUUUUCUUUUUAAAUAUCACCCCAUACCCCCUUCUCUCCUCCCACCUCCCCCCAAACAUUUCUUCUUCAACGCCCUUAAAUCCUCCAUUAAAGUUUCAUUGAAGCUUUUUUUUUUUUUAAAAUCAUAUCAUUAAAGCUUCUCAUUUUUUAGUUAAAUUAUAUCAUUUAGCUACCCAUUAAAGAUCUUCAACACCAUUAAAGCUCCUCCAUAGCUCCUCCAUUAAAGCUCUAAUGAAGAUUUUUUUUUAAAUCAUAUCAUUAAAACUCCAUUUAUCACUUUUGAAUGUUUAAUGGAAUUGAAUUUUGAUUUUGAAGAAACAAUUGAUAUGAAGUUUGAAUUAAUUAUGAGAGAAUUUUACUUGCCUUUGAUAUAUACAUUAAUCAUACCAUGUAAUUAUUAACUAUGAAUUAUAAUUUUUUAAAAUAUUAAUUAUACCAUGUAAUUAUUAAAAAUUAUUAACUAUGAAUUGUAAUUUUUUAAAACAUUAACCAUAUCAUGUAAUUAUUAAAUUAUUUUAUCUAUAAUGUGUAAUUUUUCCAAAAAUAAGAUCAAACAUACCUAUAUGCACCCCAAAUCAACCCUAAUAAGUGCAAUGAAAAACGGAUGUCUUUAACUUUUGCCUCUCAAAAUCGUAAUCUUUAAUAUUUACCCUUAGAUCUUUAAGUAACCAAAAAAAAGGUCGAAAACAGCUCAAACAGCCUAAAAAAAUCACAAGGCAUAAGUCUAGUGGCACAAUUUAUUCUUUAGGACGUCAAUUCCAUGACACAAGUUAUGCCUUCUGUUAUGCCCAAAGACAUGUUCAGUGACAUAAGCUAUGCCUUAAGGCAUAUAUUCAGUGGCACAAGUUAUGCCUACUGAACUUAUAUCCCAAGACAAGUUGAUGUCACACUAAACUUGCAUACCAACACACAAAUUACGCCUACUAAACUUAAGCCUGACUUCAUUUUUUUUAAAAGUUUGCUUUACGAAUUUAGAUAGUGCUGGAUUUAUGCUCUAAGGUAAAAAUUUUCUAAAAAAAAUUGUAUUACAAAAUUACGUAAUAGUUAAGGAUACUUUGUCCGAACAAUUGAUGACCACCAGGGGCAAAAAAUAAAAAACCACUAAUUUGAGGGACAAAAAUUAUAAACCACCCCGAAAUAGGAACAAUCAAUACAAAAACUUGAUGGAAAACACUACAAACUUUAUGCUUCAUAACAAUGUGAUCAAGCGUGCGCCAGUUGUUUACGUGACAAGGGACAAGCGCGACGAGAACCCAUUCCCUUAAGCAGACGCGGAUCCAUGAUUUACACUUACCUAUUGAAUCUUACCAGGGAAACCAUUUCAUUUCUGAAUUUAUAAGUUCAAAAUUUAAUAUUUCUUUAAACUUAAGUUAUUACAUAUACGUGCCCUACGUUGAAAGUGAUCGAUUCUAAGCGUAUACUACCUACCUCCACAACUGCCAGAAAAGUCCCUAUGCUUUUAAUCUGACAUAAUUUUAUCUAAGAAGAAACAGAUGAUGCUGAAGGUGAUUGAAAUCAAGGGGUAAAGAUUCUAAAAGGACUUCCCCAUCAUGUAGUCGUCGGCCUUCCCCAGCCCCAACUAGUUACUGAGCAAGUGAACUUUGGGGAAAAUUUUGAACUUCAUACAUGUACAGAACUGCCAGACUCCAUCAAGUCCUAUUUCACAAGCAAUAAGUAUUAGCAGAAAAAACACAAUUAAACUACAAUUAUCAUGCAUCCCGGGCUUUAACACUAACUUCUGUAAGGGGUUGGAGAAGCAUCCUCGGGCUUGGAGGACGGGUACUGAACUUACGAACCAAGAUCGUAAAACAUGGCAAAAAUACUAUGUAAAGUCCUCCUAGGAUGAAUGGUACAGCAACAAGCCAGCCCAACAUCUGUAAAAGUUGUCCAAAGUCCAUUGCUAAAAGUCAGUUGAAGAAUGCAAAGAUGAAGAAAAGGAGCAUAAGUUUCGACAAUCUUACAGCAGCAUCAAGUUCAGCAAUUGACACAAAAACAAUUCUUGAUGUGAGACAUAGAUAUAUAGAAACUCUGUGCAUGACAAAAAUUUGAAAUUUUGCUUAUCAUCCAUGCAUAACAAGUGACUUUUUGAUAAGUAUUCAGGAUGAAGGAAAUGGAUGCUUUAUAGACUGACAAGGUUGUAUCCAACCCAAAAGAAUGGUUAACUGAAACGCCCUUACGUCUUCUUUUGGUAUUUUAUGAAUGGAAUGAAUAAGACAGACAGAGUUUCAAACUCCAUUUUACCCCAGUUAAUCUCUACUGAACAAAGUCUAUCUCAUUGGAUCAAGAAUCUACCAUAGUCAAAACCAAAAUCCUAUUAUCUUAUUGGUACAAGAGAAAAGGGAUGGAUCUAAAUCAUGAAGAAAACCACAUCAAAUAGAUAAAACGGUCUAACAAUCAAGAAGAUAAUACUGAUAUAAGAAAGAAAGGAAGAAAGAGAUGCUCUGAUGCAAAAAAAUUUCUUCACUUACCGCACGAAAAAUGCUGAGCACGACUUCCUUUGAAGCCUCACCACUGAAGACCUUCUUUAGAGCAUCAGCAGUCAAAGGAAAAUGAGAUCCACCAGUGAUAGACUCACCUAGGCGUAGAAACGGAAUCAUCAGACUGCAAAGUGGAAGGCAGAGCACCAAGUGAGGACUUAAGCAUCAAUGAAAUUAGUAGUUUACCGAGAUGUUGAAAGCCUGACAUAAUAUGGCUUAAAUUAAAUACUGACAGAUCAAAGUUUACCCUUCACUGAACUCAAAGUAACACAACAAUCUCUCCUCACCUCAAAGCAGACAUUAUGUUCAACAUAGGCAGACUACAAUGGGCAUGCUAACCUAUCCAGCUGAAUAAAAAAUCAUAUUCAAACCAUUGCGAAGAACUAAUUAAUGCAAUUCUUAAAACGAAAUGUUGUUGGAAAUUCAGGCCCACCAGUCAACGGCCCUCCACAACACCACCACACACACACACACACACCAAAUACAAAAUAGGGUCGAACAUUUUUCACCAAAGAAUAGCUUCUCCAUUACCUAAGUUAAAUUCUCAAAUUCAUGAUUUUUUAACACUCUAAAUGUCUUUAUUAAUUUAAUAUUUUAGGUUAACCCGAAAUCUCUUAAUUGUCAUUUCAAGUACUAUAUUAAAACGGAAAAUAUGCAAUGAUUCUUGGAGUGAAUAGGACAUUUACUUAAACCCAAAAAGUUGAAAAAUUUUAUUUUGAGUCUCAUACAACCAACAAAAGUUGUAUGAGGCCUUAUUAUUUGAUGGGCAUGUGGCUUAUGGGGUCCACUAGCCCUUCUUUACCUCUUUACCUUUGAGGAGAAGCCACCGUUACAUCUUACAAUUUUCAUCUUUACCAUUUUUUUCUUCUUCAAAUUCAAUGUCAAUGCCACCAAAAUUAAAUAUAACCUCUUUGUUCAACCUAUUGUUUACCACUAUUUUCUGUCUUCCCACCUUCAUACGAUUUUUCCCAGAAUUUUGUAUUUUUUUUUCCUUUUUUCCAGAAUUUUUUCCUCCACUUUAUUCUAAAUACAGUUUAUUUGGUAUUUUGAAAUUGAAAAUAGAGUUGGAGUUGUGUUUGACAUAGUAUUUUCAAAGUCAUUUUAGACUUUGAAUAUGUUUUUUACAAAGUGAGAGAAAAAAUUGAAUUCAAAAAAAGUGAAAACACUUUAAGGGGUGUUUUUCAAAAACCAAAAAAAAAAAUUGUGAAAACAUAUUUCAAAAUAUUUAUUUGAUUUUUAUGGCCAAAUAAGUAUUCCGAAAUAAAGUGAAAACAUAUUCCGAAAUAUUGUAAAUAAUAUUUAUGGCCAUACGCGUAAAUAAUAUUUAUGGCCAUACGCCUACUUACUUCUCCCACAAAAUUCAAAAAUAACUCCAAUUUAUAUUGAUCAAACACAACUCCAACUACAAUUUUUCCCUCGAGAUGGAAUGGGUAUGUCAACAUUGUGGCAUAGUCCAAUUCUUCGGUGCAGAUUAUAAAUCUUAAAUUAUAUUAAUUAACAUACAAAAAAAAAAGUUUCAUAAAAUAAUGAAAUAAAAUUCAAAAUUAAUUGCUAUGAAAGAAAGAGAAUAUACGAAGUCAAGGAAAGAAAAAAUAAUCGAGAGGAAUUUUCGAAAAACAAAAAAUGUGAGAAGAACAUGAAUUAAAAGAAUAUGGCAAAGUAAUGAGAGUUGGGUCCCACUGAUUCCAAAUAUCAAAUAAUAAGUCCCUCAUACAAAUAUGACGUGGUGUACCUCAUACAAAAUAAUAUUUUUCAUUGCAAAUGAGAAGAAAUCACAACUUUUUGAAGCUUUUUCUCAAUACAGUUUGACAUAAGAACCCAUCCCAGUCCUGGCCCCAAAAAGAAUGAAGAGAGAAAUUGCUUCUUUGUGACACAGUUUAUUGACAAACAGGAAAAAGACACACAUAAACUAUGUCCAAAUGAAGACCUGCAAUUGAAGAAACUUAACAUCCUGUGGGAUCGAAGAUUGAUAAAUGCACAACAAUGAUGCUAAUAACCAAAAGCAUAGACUGAUGCCAGAUCCUCGUUUGUUUCCCAUUUCUCACAACCCACAGAUAUUGUUAUACAGAUCCUAGCAUAAAAGUUGGGGACAAGAAGCUUGUGCAAUACUAACAACUAUGGCGGAAAUAGAUCGUUAAGCUUAUAACAGGAAUCCCUAUUUUAUAAUAUACAUGUCUAACUACAAAAGAGAUCUUGGACCAGGUAGGGGGGAGAAUGGUCUCUGGAAAAAGAACAGGGAUCAAGCAGUGACAGCAAAACAAUCAAAUAAUUGAGCUAAUACCUCAACUCAAUAGGAGUAGCGAUGAAGUUAGCCAACAUCAAAGUUGGAGCAUGACAAUAGGAUCCCAAUAAUGCAAUACCUAUCCCACAUAAGAAUACUGUGACACCUGUUCAGAAAAAUAGAUUGCACACAAGUUGCAUUUGAUUAGUAAAAUUCAAUAGGACUUAAUCAAGGCAUUCACCGAAAUAUUUCUAGCCAGCAACAAGAAAAUUAAACCACAGAUUAUAUUUUUUUCUGUUUAAAGGAUGUUUGUGCUAAUAACAUCAAUUUGCAUGCAGUCUGUUAAUUAACUGCAAUAUUUCUCAUCACACACAGAUAGAUCCUAUGUUGCUCGGACUCUUCAAAAAUGUUGACGGAUGCGUGUUGGAUCCUCCAAAAAUUGUGUAUUUUUGAAGGUUCCGACACAAGUGCCAACAUUUUGGAGAGUUCAAGCAACAUUGCAUAGAUCUGCAUAAAAGUUUCAGCAACAGUACGGUCGGCAAAACUAACUCAACAUAUGGUUGCAAUUGCGCUGUAAUGUAAGCAUAUCUAUGGCUACAAGAACUGCACUCAAAUCUUCUAGAUUACAUGAUUCAGUUCGAUAAUGCAGAGAUGGACCUUCUUCAUCCCAGGGAGAAUUUGAGGUGAUCGAACAACACAACACAAGCAGGGUGUGCUACAGGAUCAUUGAACAAAAGAAAAGGUUUGUGAGAAAAAUCAGGAUCGAUGAUCAGAAAGGUGGUUCAGUAAACAUUGAUGAGUAUCAAAGGCGGAGGGCAUAUUGCAAAUUUUCUGAAAAAGGAAGGUGGAAGAAAUGUAUCAAGAAUAUGGGGUUCAAAGCUUCUUCUCGGAUUGAAGCAAACCAAGGGAGGAGACAGUCAACUGAAAUGAUUCCAAUACUAGAGAAAAACUUGGGGCAGGAAGAGAACAGCUAUACGCACCUCCCUGCUGGAAGUCAGAGUUGUUCACGGGUAGCAGCUCUAAGGGAUAGUCAAGAGGAAGGUAUUAAACAGCUUCUUCUUUCUCAAUAUACAUAGUUGUGUCAGCUUCAUGGGAAAAGAAAACCCAGAUACUUCAUCAAUGUGAUACUAAAGGAAUCAAGUCGAAAAGUUUGCUCCAGACACCAUAUUAGUUCCACAGCAUGUCAAAAAACAAUUCAAACAUCAAACCUAUGUGUAUGGGGUGAAGCUCCUAAAAUGACAUUGAAUGGCAAUUAAUCAAUUGCUAUUAUUAGGACCAUUAAUUCCAAAUCCAUGUAAAGUUCAACAAGUUGUAAUAUGUACAAACACAUCAGUUUUUUCCCGAUCAAUAGAUCCAUUUCUACAAACCCAAGUAAAGAUGAAGUCUCCCAGAAGUGCUUGGAAGACAAUCUAUGAGAAGGUUAUCAAAUUACAAUCUUAAUAUGGUAUUUCAUUAGCAUUUUGAUAUUGCAAGGUUCAAGCCAUUUCCACGUAAUUAAAAGAAAUUUCACUGAUUCGACGUAUCUACCAUUGGCAUCUCCCUGCAAUUGAACUCUCCCACUUUUCUUAACACGUCGUUAAAUAAUUGAAUUACAGUCGAGAACCUUCUAUUUUACUCCCUCCGUCCCAUUUUAUGUGUCGCCAUUUGACCGGGCACGGAGUUUAAGAAAUAAGGGAAGACUUGGUAAUGUUUACCAAAUUGCCCUUUAUCAAAAAAUGUGCUAUUAACUU